rnacentral:lncRNA from 1 species
CUUCUGCCGGCCGGUGAGGCUGCUCUUGAGAUGUCGUUACCGGAAGAGAAGAGUGAGCAUCAGUUGGUAGAGUUUUGCUUUGAACAUACAACCUCAUCUAGCAAUGAGGAAACCAAGGAGUUCAUGAGGGUCCUGUCAUCACAGGAACGUACAUACUGGGAAAGUCAGAGAUGCUGUUCUAGCGAGUUAACAAGGCCAGUGCAAUGCAGACAGGAAAGCUCGUAGGCAUUACUGUCCCAGUUACUUUGAGGCACGAAAAUGAACAAGUGCUGCUGUGUGGUUGUGAGUGGAUCUUGUCUAGUGGGUAAGGGAAGUGGCAGCUAAAUGCACACCUGACAACGAGACACUCUUGUCCCUGUCUGCAGACACUGAUCACAGGAGACCACCUUAGAUGGUGCUGCAUCCCUUGUCCCUCAGCUCCUGAUAGAGACCAACAGUACUGCUUGCAAGAAUUUAAAAAGAGCCACUGUGAGGGACGUGCACUUAAAUUUAAGAUGCCUUGUUAGAUUAGGGCUGAGGGUAAGGGGAGGAAGGGCAAGGUAGUUGUCACUGAAGAGGGAAGAGCACACAGUAUGUCUACAGCACAGCCUUGGCCCCUAUACACACAUAAACACACGCUGUGUGUGUGUGUGUGUGUGUGUGUGUGUGUGUGUGUGUGUGUAUGUGUAUGUGUGUUGAGAGCCAGCCACUACUGAAACCACAGAGAGGAAGGCAGUUCUGGUUGGAGGUGGCAGGGACUCUAUAUGGAGACAGGGCUUGAGAGCUCUUAGUGCCUGGCUGAGGAUUCUGCCCCUGAUUCCGCUCAGAGGCUGGACAGAGGCGAGCUCCUGUGGGAUGUUAAGUUCACGUAUACAGAGGAUAAGUGAAGAAGCUACUUUGGACACUUUCAAGUACUAUGAUUAGGUCAAUGUGUUAAGAAAGGCAGGCUGCUGACCUCCCAAAGGACUGAUACCUGAUAGCUGUUGGAGGUUUGUGUGAAGGCACAGUGUGGUUCUCAGCUGCUACAUCUUCAUCCCCUUACGGAGUGCAUGCUGUCGUCCCCAUCCUACAGCUAGGAACGCAAUCUGGAAAGGAAGAGUAAUGUGUGCCCACCACACAGGAGACAGAGCAGGACCUUGAACCCCUUUCUACAGUCUUGCCCUGUGCCAUCAGCUAUGUUCUACAAGAGAAGGGUUGGGAAAAGGAGGCCCUGUAUGGAAACUGCUGGGGACAUCCACACCAGCCUAAGGACCAGAGAAGCUAAGAUACUGUUGGUGUGGGUACCCAGUGCAGUGCCAAGGGAUCAAGGAGGCUAGUGGGUUGUCUGCAUGGAAUGCAAUGGGCUCAUGCAGACCUGGAGCCAUACUAUGGCAGUGUCGACUCCAGACUGCUCUGAAGUCCUGUGCCUUCCAAUAUCCCUUGAGAACUCCAAAAAGAGGAUCCUGACCCCAGACUUGGUCCAUUUACUUCAGCGCUGACACCAUGUGGAAAGCCAAACUUUUAUCUGAUUUUGUUUCUCAUUGUCGAGCACAUGAUGAACCCUCUUCAAAUCUGCCGUGCUCCAGGAGUGACUCCAGGGUCAAGCUGGCCUUGCUCACGGGCCAUAGUGGAGGACAAACAUUUCUAUGAGACCAAAGAAAGACUAUGGUCUGUGAACCCCAUGCUGAACACCAGAAUGAGCUGAGCAGAAGGCUGGGUUGCUAAAGCUUUGGUAAGAUGAAAUAAAACCAAAGCAGUUCAGGUUCCACCCAGAGUGCUCAGCUGGCUACUUUUACAGAGGAUACCUCAGUCCAGAAUGCAAAGGUUUUCUUAGCUUCAAGUUUACAUAUCCCAAUCCAUGGUCAAUUUUCCCUAUUGCUUUGGGCCUGUAGUGAAGCAGCUCCUGAUGGCAGGAACAUGAGGCAAAGCAAGGCUGCUUACCUAACAAUCAGAGAGCUAAAACUAAGAGGAAAAGGCAUAUGAGUUUCACAGUCACUUUCAAGGGCCUGCCUCCAAAAUACCGUGCAUCUCCAAGUACAACACACCUCCCACAAAGAUCCACAUUCCCAACAACAGCACCAACUGGGGACCAGGCCUUCGAGAGAUAUCUGAGAGUCAAGGCCAUACUACCACCUUGAAUUGAAAAGUACAAAAAUAUGGCCUCCUUUCCCUUGCUGUGUGAUUCAUUUUGCCCACAAACAUAAGCUUAGAGACUACUUAAGCUUUGAGCUGGUGGAAGUUCCACUGUUGAAGCACCUCUCACAAAACAUCCAACUCUUCUCUGAGAGCUCUUACUGCCUUGGGGAAUGAUGUGGCGUGACACCGAUGAAUAAAAUAUGUCACUGUGGCUGUAGAUACAGAGUCACGACAGGAAGAACCUCCAGACACAGGGAGAGUAAGUGGCCGGGCUAAACACAGUGGGCUACACCCUGUGAAAAAAUGGCAUUUAAGGCUGAACUCUUGCACAGCUGCAUGUGGUAGCUGAGGAAACUCCUGCAGUUUUUAGCAAGCAGUCAGUCGGGACAG